GAUGAAGAACGCAGCGAAAUGCGAUACUUGGUGUGAAUUGCAGAAUCCCGUGAACCAUCGAGUCUUUGAACGCAAGUUGCGCCCGAAGCCAUCAGGUUGAGGGCACGUCUGCCUGGGCGUCACAUAUCGUUGCCCAAUGCCUAUUGCAGUGCAAUAGGAAUUUCUAGGGCGAAUGAUGGCUUCCCGUGAGCGUUGUUGCCUCGCGGUUGGUUGAAAAUCGAGUCCUUGGUAGGGUGUGCCAUGGUAGAUGGUGGUCGAGUUAGAACGAUACCGAUCAUGUGCAUGCUCCCCAAAAUAUGGCCUCUAUGACCCACACGCGUCUUUUGACGCUCAUGACGAGACCUCAGGUCAGGCGGGGCUACCCGCUGAAUUUAAGCAUAUCAAUAAGCGGACGA
rnacentral:misc_RNA from 1 species